rnacentral:sRNA from 1 species
GCUGGGCACAUUGGUGCAUGCCUGUAAUCCCAGUGACUUGGGAGGCUGAGGCAGGAGAUUCGAAAGUUCAAAGCCAGCCUCAGCAAUUUAGUGAGGCCCUAAGCAAUUCAGUGAGACCCUGUCUCAA